rnacentral:rRNA from 1 species
GAUGAACGCUGGCGGCGUGCCUAAUACAUGCAAGUCGAGCGAACAGAUGAGGAGCUUGCUCCUCUGACGUUAGCGGCGGACGGGUGAGUAACACGUGGAUAACCUACCUAUAAGACUGGGAUAACUUCGGGAAACCGGAGCUAAUACCGGAUAAUAUAUUGAACCGCAUGGUUCAAUAGUGAAAGACGGUUUUGCUGUCACUUAUAGAUGGAUCCGCGCCGCAUUAGCUAGUUGGUAAGGUAACGGCUUACCAAGGCAACGAUGCGUAGCCGACCUGAGAGGGUGAUCGGCCACACUGGAACUGAGACACGGUACAGACUCCUACGGGAGGCAGCAGUAGGGAAUCUUCCGCAAUGGGCGAAAGCCUGACGGAGCAACGCCGCGUGAGUGAUGAAGGUCUUCGGAUCGUAAAACGCUGUUAUUAGGGAAGAACAAAUGUGUAAGUAACGAUGCACGUCUUGACGGUACCUAAUCAGAAAGCCACGGCUAACUACGU